AAAUUUAGUAUUUCAAUUAUCUAUUGCUAUGUAACAUGCAUCCAAAAAAUGCAGUGGUUUCUAAAAUCAAUAUUAUCUUUCAUGAUUGUUUAUUAAUGAAGUGUUUCUUCUGCCUCACACGGCAUUGGCUAAGAUACAGGGAUAUUUACAAAAUUCAAAAUGUUUACUGAGUUGUCAGCCAGAGGCUUUAGUUCUCCUGCAGGUGGGACUCUCCACAUAGCUACUUGGGUUUCUUCACAAUAAGGUAAAUGGGGUCAAAGAAUGACCAUUCAGGACAGGAAGUGGAAGAAACACAGAACCAUGGCCGCUAUGGUUGCUGUUUGCGGUGGUCUAGGGAGGAAGAAGGUGACACAGCUGGUAACGGCUGCUAUCAGCCUUACACAUCCCAGGACUCACACAGUGCUGUGGAGAAGAGGAUUUUCACAAUAUAAACAGAUAUCCAGCAAUGAGGAUCUGCCCAUUCCAAUGGAAAGCCCUUAUAAAGAACCUCUUAAGAAAUGUAUUUUAUGUGGAAAGCAUGUAGAUUAUAAGAAGGUACAGCUUUUGGCUCAGCUUGUUUCACCAUUUACUGGAGGCAUUUAUGGAAGGCACAUUACAGGUCUUUGUGUGAAGAAAGAGAAAGAAAUAACAAAAGCAAUUAAGAGAGCUCAAAUAAUGGGGUUUAUGCUAGUUACAUACAAGGAUCCUGCAUAUCUCAAGGACCCUAAAGUUUGUAACAGCAGAUAUCAGGAACAACUUCUAUCAUGUUACCACCAAUAAACUUAUUUUACAGCAAAGAAUGACUAUGCAAAAAGGUGAAUGAGUAAGCUACAGAUCUCUUAAGGCUCAUCCAUAGAUGUUACGCAGUAUCACUUGAGAUGCAUUCCAUUCCAAACAGGUGAAAAAAAGCCGACUCUACCUUUCCUUAGAGGAGGGUCAAGAUCACAUUGCAAAGUGUAUGUGGGAUGUUAAAUUUAGUUAUGGCCAUCUUUGAAAAUACAAUGUACCACACACACAGAAGUCGAGCCAUUAACCAAUAAGUGGGGAUUUCAAGGGUUAGCAGUAAAUGUGAUGACAAUAUUGUAUAAAAUUAUAUAAAUUAUUACAUUUAAAAAUCAUCUUAAAGCAUAAAGAGAAAUCGAAAAUUAGCCCAGACUGAGAAGGUAAAGAUCUUUACUAUUCUUCAUCAGGAUGAGAUAAUAUAGAUAAAACCAGCUGCAAUGUUGUCAGCUAAACAGUAGAUGCUGGACC